AGGAAGACGGCGCGUCGGAAAUGGUCGGGAUAGCUCAGCAGGUAGAGCAGAGGACUGA
rnacentral:tRNA from 1 species